ACACCGGUGAGGGAGCCUGAGAAACGGCUACCACAUCCAAGGAUGGCAGCAGGCGCGCAAAUUACCCAAUCCCGACACGGGGAGGUAGUGACAAUAAAUAACAAUACGGGGUUCUUUCGGAUCUCGUAAUUGGAAUGAGUACAAUUUAAAUCUCUUAACGAGGAACAAUUGGAGGGCAAGUCUGGUGCCAGCAGCCGCGGUAAUUCCAGCUCCAAUAGCGUAUAUUAAAGUUGUUGCAGUUAAAAAGCUCGUAGUUGAAUUUCGGGGUUAGUAGGUUGGUCAUGCCUCUGGUAUGUACUGGUCUCACUGAUUCCUCCUUCCUUAUGAACCGUAAUGCCAUUAAUUUGGUGUUGCGGGGAAUUUGGACUGUUACUUUGAAAAAAUUAGAGUGUUUAAAGCAGGCCAACGCUUGAAUACAUUAGCAUGGAAUAAUGAAAUAGGACGUUCGAUCUUAUUUUGUUGGUUUCUAGGAUUGACGUAAUGAUUAAUAGGGAUAGUUGGGGGCAUUAGUAUUCAAUUGUCAGAGGUGAAAUUCUUGGAUUUAUUGAAGACUAACUACUGCGAAAGCAUUUGCCAAGGAUGUUUUCAUUAAUCAAGAACGAAAGUUAGGGGAUCGAAGACGAUCAGAUACCGUCGUAGUCUUAACCAUAAACUAUGCCGACUAGGGAUCGGAUGAUGUUAAUUUUUUAAUGACUCAUUCGGCGCCUUACGGGAAACA
rnacentral:rRNA from 1 species